GAGGGUGUAGCUCAGUGGCAGAGCAUGUGUUUAGCACGCACGAGGUCCUGGGUUCCAGCCCCAGUCCCUCCA
rnacentral:tRNA from 1 species